CUCUCACAACAUCUAUUCGGAUUCAAGCAUAGAGAUAUGAGAAUUCAUACGUAAAAUGCGGGCGAAAUCCUCUUCAAAUAGAAUGUUCAUUCGGGCAUUUUAAUAAACAGCAAAUGGGCAUGAAAAAAUUCAACAGAUUUUUGCUCAAUUUAUGUUGUAACUGGCCCCAAAAUUAUCAGAAACACACAAGGUUUCAAUCCAAUCAACCCGCGAACAUGUAUAUUCAAGAUCAUGUAUGAUCACAGAAACAUUAUUAGGAACCAAUCUUCGAAAUACAUGUCUCUGAAUUUUCAAGAGUCUAUGCUUAGAAAAGGGAAAAGGAAAAAGAAAAGGGUUGCUUACAGCUCCCUCUUGAGCGGUGGUGACUUGCUGAUGGCGGUGGAGGAUUCCAUCGAAAUGGUAGCUGCGAAAAAUUCUGGAGCGGCCAGCAAGAUGCAAUUCCUCCGCUCAGUUUUUCUGCUUGCCCGAAAUUCCUUUUCUUCUUGCUCGGUUUUUUGCAACUCCCUUUUCUUGCUCUGUUUCUGUUUGCAGCCGCGGCCCUUUUCUCUAUUUUUCCUUGGCUUUUAACCAAUUCUUUUCCUCACUUAGUUCCUCCAGCCCGCAGCCUUUUGCUUUUUCCUUGUUUUCCCUUUUCCUCCCCUGCCGAAACCUCCCAUGUUUUUCCUUUUGUUGCUCUGUUCUUUUUUCAGUUCUCUUCUUCAACCAAGAGCCUCCCUCUCUGUUUUUUUUUUUUUGUUUUCCCCCAAAAGGUCUCCGCCGCCACCUUCUUUUUCUUCCCUUAUUUUUUUUACUCUUUCUCGCUCGUUUUUCUCUUCCCGGAAAACCUCCCCCAAUCUUUUCAGAUUUUCCCUUUUGAUCUUGCUCUCUGUGUUUUUCCAGCCCUUUCGUCUACUGCCAACUU
rnacentral:lncRNA from 1 species